rnacentral:rRNA from 1 species
GACGAACGCCGGCGGCGCGCUUAACACAUGCAAGUCGAACGGAAAGGCCUGCUUUCCCUUGUGGAUUGCGGGUACUCGAGUGGCGAACGGGUGAGUAACACGUGAGUGAUCUGCCCCCAACUUGGGUAUAAGCCUGGGAAACUGGGUCUAAUUCCCGAUAGGACUGCAGGGUGGUGCCUGUGGUGGAAAACGAUUUUCUAGUGGUUGGGGAUGAGCUCGCGGCCUAUCAGCUUGUUGGUGGGGUAAUGGCCUACCAAGGCGGCGACGGGUAGCCGGCCUGAGAGGGUGGACGGCCACAUUGGGACUGAGAUACGGCCCAGACUCCUACGGGAGGCAGCAGUGGGGAAUAUUGCACAAUGGGCGGAAGCCUGAUGCAGCGACGCCGCGUGGGGGAUGACGGCCUUCGGGUUGUAAACUCCUUUCGACCGCGAGGAAGCCACCUGGUUGGAAGGGUGGUGACGGUAGUGGUAGAAGAAGCACCGGCUAACUACGUG